AGCUGCUGUUUGUCCAAAGAGAGGCGGCUGGCAGGCCACUGCAUAGUCUGGGUAACUCCUCUCUGAAAACAGGAGGCUGAACCACCUAGGAGAAUACAGUAGGAUUGCAGGCACUGCUAAAAGUCCACUGAAGGACUGUGGUCCCUAUUUCAAGAUGGGACCAGUCAGCACAGUUGUUUUUCUGUAGCUUCCUGGGUACAAGUGCAGAGUCAGAGGAAUUGAACUUAACCAGUUAGUUUUGAUAAGCAGUGUUCAAGCUGGGAGGUACUAGAGAACACGAGAAUUAAGUAACAAGCGACUGGUGAGAAUGAGUGAGAAACUCCAGGGAAACACAGCCCCACGAAAUCUGCAGGUUAGUAGUGGCUGCAACCCCCCUGGAGGCUCUGCUCAUGUCUUCGGGAAGCACAGAGGAUGACACUUCUUUGAGACAAGAAGACAAAUCCGCAAUGUAACCUGAGACUGCAAGACCCUGAGAAUGCCGAAGCAGGAAGAGUGAUCGAGACUGACAAGAGCAUGACCAUGGUGAUCUCUCAGGAAGCAAAAUCAUUCCGUACAUGCAUAAGAAAUUCUGUCCAGAAACUGAACACUUCAGUGCUGGUGAACUUACGAUGAAGUCAACUAAAUGAAGAGCUAAACUUAUAAUCUUAGUUGUCAUUUGGCUCUUGUUUUAUCAAAAUGUAAUUCUAAUAAAAUCAAAAUAAGGGUAUUCUUUUACUUCCUGAGUCUAAGAAAGGCAGGACCCGCUGCAAAUGUCUGUGAAUGUUGUAUUAGACCAUAUACUUUCUUUAAUAAAGCAAACAGUUUAGAGUAAAUGACUCACAUACUAUUCUGGGAGCAGUGCUCUAGGAAGGCUGUGAAGGGACUGCUUUCUGCUCAUGCACAGGGAAAAGGGAGUCUUAUUCACUGUAGCCCUCGUGUCUUGUAUGUGGCAUGAUACCUAGCACUUAAAAGGAGUCCAACUCAUGGCUGUGAACUGAGAGUAAUAACAGCUCACACUGAGCUUGCUAUAUUCCAGUACUGCACAAACAGCAACUCAUCGAAUUCUCACAGUAGCCCUAAGUGGUAAAUACUGCUAUUAUUCCCAUUUUUAUAGCUGAGGAAACUGAAGAACAGAGAGGUUACACAACUUGGUGUAGGUGGAGCCAGACUGCAAAUGAAGGUAGACUGACUACCGGUACACUGCCUUACGACGGCCCUCUCGAUGCAAGAGUAAGAUUAGGAGGGGGAAGACUGGACCAGCAAGGACCAGGCUCUUAGCUUGCAGGAGCAGGGGGAGUCCAAAAUAAAAGGAUGGGCAAGAUGAAAUUCUUUUUAACUCUGUCUCAGAUAUAGCAAUGUCUGUGAAAAGAUAAAUUUGAUGUUUAAGUCAUCUUUAUACGAUUAAACAAAUCCGUAACUAUUAAAGUAUAAAUUUUCAUAUUUAUUUUACAUAAAUGUCUAGAAUUAAUCCAGGUAUGCAUAUUACUUUGGGGAUAUACUGCCGUAGAUGUUAAUCACAUAGAUGUGAUUUCAUGUUAAAAGGUUGGGGAAAUGCUUCGUACACAAAUAAACAUGUUGUGUUAGUUUGUUAAAAAAAAAAAAAGUAA